UACGUAGGGUGCAAGCGUUGUCCGGAAUUAUUGGGCGUAAAGAGCUCGUAGGCGGUCUGUCGCGUCUGCUGUGAAAACUCGGGGCUUAACCCCGGGCCUGCAGUGGGUACGGGCAGACUAGAGUGUGGUAGGGGAGACUGGAAUUCCUGGUGUAGCGGUGAAAUGCGCAGAUAUCAGGAGGAACACCGAUGGCGAAGGCGGGUCUCUGGGCCGAUACUGACGCUGAGGAGCGAAAGCGUGGGGAGCGAACAGG
rnacentral:rRNA from 1 species